UGGUAGUUUCUUGGUCAUGUAUUGGACUACCAUGGCAGUCACGGGACGGAGAAUUAGGGUUCGGUUCCGGAGAGGGAGCCUGAGAAACGGCUACCACAUCUAAGGAAGGCAGCAGGCGCGUAAAUUACCCAAUCCUGACUCAGGGAGGUAGUGACAAGGAAUAACGACCCGGGACGGAGCCUCCGUAAUCGGAAUGAGUGAACUCUAAAUCCUUUCGCAAGGAUCAAUUGAAGGGCAAGUCUGGUGCCAGCAGCCGCGGUAACUCCAGCUCCAAUAGCGUAUAUUAAAGUUGUUGCAGUUAAAAAGCUCGUAGUUCAACCUCGGUUGCGGGGUUGAGAGCCAGCUCGGAGGGGCCGACGCAUCCGCCUGCACCAAGCUUCGGCUUGAGGGCAGGCAGUUUACGUCGAGAAAAUUAGUGUGGUCAAGGUCGGUGUCUCCUUCUAUCCCUGUCUGGAAUAAUGGAGAAAUACCACAGGCCGUUGUUGGUUGGGUGAGGAGUAAUGAUGAGUGGGGACAGGCGGGGGCAUUAGUAUUUCAUUGUCAAAUAUGAAAUUCCGUCGGCUCGUCAAAGAUUGACUACUGCGAAAGCAUUCUUUUGGAUGUUCUCAUUGGUAAAAGGUAAAAGUUAGGGGAGCGGAGGGGACCAGAUACCGUCCUAACCUUAACAAUAAACCAUACCGACUCGGAUUUAAAAGGGGCAAAGAAGCCGGCGGUGCCAGAAAAGUUUUGGUUUUGAUUUUGGGAGAAAAACUUAGGAUUUAUUUCUGUUUCGUUAUCGGUUCCAAAUCCCCCACCCGGGGGCUUAAUUUGACUCAACACGGGGAAACUUACCAGGUCAAAACAUGGGUGUGAUUGACAGAUUGAGAGCUCUUUCUUGAUUCUAUGGGUGGUGGUGCAUGGCCGUUCUUAGUUGGUGGAGUGAUUUGUCUGGUUAAUUCCGAUAACGUCUCAACGCAGACGCUUCUUAGAGGGACUAUGCGGGUCUACCGCAUGGAAGUUUGAGGCAAUAACAGGUCUGUGAUGCCCUUAGACGUCCUGGGCCGCACGCGCGCUACAAUGGCACACGCAGCGAGUCUCCUGAUCCGAAGGGAGCCGGGCAACCUGCGAGGGUGUGCCGUGAUUGGGAUCGACCCUUGCAAUUAUGGGUCGUGAACGAGGAAUUCCUAGUAAGCGCCAGUCAUCAG
rnacentral:rRNA from 1 species